CGGGUGAGUAAUACAUCGGAACGUGUCUUCUAGUGGGGGAUAACUGCCCGAAAGGGCAGCUAAUACCGCAUGAGACCUGAGGGUGAAAGCGGGGGAUCGCAAGACCUCGCGCUGGAAGAGCGGCCGAUGUCCGAUUAGCUAGUUGGUGAGGUAAAGGCUCACCAAGACGACGAUCGGUAGCUGGUCUGAGAGGACGACCAGCCACACUGGGACUGAGACACGGCCCAG
rnacentral:rRNA from 1 species